rnacentral:rRNA from 1 species
CAGUAGCCACGGUAAUAUGUAGGUGGCAAGCGUUGUCCGGAAUUAUUGGGCGUAAAGGGCUCGCAGGCGGUUUCUUAAGUCUGAUGUGAAAGCCCCCGGCUCAACCGGGGAGGGUCAUUGGAAACUGGGAAACUUGAGUGCAGAAGAGGAGAGUGGAAUUCCACGUGUAGCGGUGAAAUGCGUAGAGAUGUGGAGGAACACCAGUGGCGAAGGCGACUCUCUGGUCUGUAACUGACGCUGAGGAGCGAAAGCGUGGGGAGCGAACAGGAUUAGAUACCCCUGUAGUCCCUGUCUCUUAUAA